rnacentral:rRNA from 1 species
UACGUAGGGUGCGAGCGUUAAUCGGAAUUACUGGGCGUAAAGUGUGCGCAGGCGGCAGAGCAAGUCGAGUGUGAAAGCCCCGGGCUUAACCUGGGAACUGCGUUUGAAACUGGGAGACUUGAGUGUGGCAGAGGGGGGUGGAAUUCCACGUGUAGCAGUGAAAUGCGUAGAUAUGUGGAGGAACACCGAUGGCGAAGGCAGCCCCCUGGGUUAACACUGACGCUCAUGCACGAAAGCGUGGGGAGCAAACAGG